AAGUAAGGACCUAUCUUAGCUGCUUUUGGCAAAACAAACCCCUCAGCCAAAAAAGCCUUGCAUGUCUAGAAAUUGGUGGAGUAGUUACCACCCAAUGGUUAAGUCUUGCUGAGUAUUAGUAUACUCAGCCUUGCUUGUAACUUGUUUUUCAGGUAAUUUGGUAGAUGUCAAUGAAUGUGCUGCUAGCUUGACUUGGCCGACCUAGCUCCCUCCGGGUUGGACGGUCAAG
rnacentral:lncRNA from 1 species